UCCAACCACUUUUUAACAAUUGUUUGAUAGUAUGUACCUUAUCUUUUUCAUUUAGCCGCGUGCAUAUAUGGAUGUACAAUGAGAUAUUUUUCGAGAAAAGAAGAUGUAGAGUUAUCAUUCGUUGUCUUAAAUCAGUCCUUUUUCUUUUUCUUUGGUGUCUACUUUCGUACAUGCCGCUUGGCUGUAAAAUUCUAGGAGUCCUUUAUUUAUCUUCUUUUUUUCUUAGACUCACUUUGGCCAAGAUUAAACGGUCAAAUCGACACACGAUAGAUGUUCCCAUAUUGAUAAGAUAGGAUGUGGUUAUAAAUUGGCAAAGAUGGAUCUGGUCUUAUGUUAUUUAGCUUUUAUUCAUAAAUAAUUUGAAUAGCAUUUACGUCAUGAACAUAUGAUCUAUACGAUACAAAAUUAUUUUCAUAUUAACUGGUACUUUCAAAUACGAAUAUAAUAACAAUAAUUUAU
rnacentral:lncRNA from 1 species